rnacentral:lncRNA from 1 species
GCGAGCCUCCCAGGAUUCUCAAACGGAAGCAGCCUGCCAGGCUGAGCCAUCCAGAAGACCCCCUCCCUCUUCCCUGAGCUCUGUUUCUUCCAUGAGGUUGAAGAAAAAUGCCGUCGUGGUCCCCUGCCUGCUUACUCAGUGUGUCAAGCAGGAGUUCUUGGCUCCAGUGUGCCAUGGAGGGCCUUGGAAAGAGGUCACAUACCAUUCCCAUCCCCAGCAGGCACGGGAGCACUGAGGACCCUUCUUGACCUCCUGGAUCAGAAAGGCAGAGGAAAU